GGCCGCUAGUUUUCUCGUUUGAAUUUUUAUACAUCGUCAUUUCGGGGCCUUUUAAAGCUGAGUAUGCGGUAUGGGCUUUGCUCGUUGUUGAAGGCCGUAGUACGGUACGGUGACCUAUAGUCGUAAAUUUCUGUGUCAUUUUGGUCUCUUGUGGAGAGUUGUCUCAACAUGGCAAUCAUACCACAUCUUUUUUUUGUAAUCAAUGAAUUUUGUAAA
rnacentral:lncRNA from 1 species